GUCCAGGAGAAAUAACUUCACAAGUGCCUCAGGCCAUCUGGAUGUAUACUCGCAGGCUGGGCUCAGAGGACUGACAGCAGCUAAACAAGAACUGCCUCGAGAUAAAGAAGAUGAAAACAAUCGCAGCUCAUCCAGCGCGCUGACACGGAGCAACAGAGCCCCUGCUCCACAGCCCUAACUCCAGCUUUCCCUGGGCAAGAGACUGAUUUCAGUAACUUCCUCCAGAUCAGAAGACCACUGACAACAGACUGGUUCUGCAUGGUUUACAGACCUGGCAAAUUUCGGUGCCUUCAUGUCCUGAAAAGACCCUUUGACAUACAGGCUUAAUUGUAGUACAUUUAAAUAUUGUCCUUUAGGAGGCCGAGGUGGGUGGAUCACGAGGUCAGGAGAUCGAGACCAUCCUGGCCAACAUGGUGAAACCCCGUCUCUACUAAAAAGGCAAACAUUAGCAGGGCGUGGUGGCGCACACCUGUAAUCGCAGCUACUCAGGAGGCUGAGGCAGGAGAAUCACUUGAACCCAGAAUACAGACGUUGCAGUGAGCCGAGAUCUCUCCACUGCACUCCAGCCUGGUGACAGAGUGAGACCCCAUCUCAAAAAAAAAAAAAAUUCCUCAUGAGAGAGUUAAAGUUCGUCUUAUUCUCACACUGAGAUUUUGGAAUGAGCUGUGUAUUUUACACGUGCCAAAGUCUCUAAUCAGAGCCCUAUUUCAGGUGCUCAGUAGCUUCUGUGGUCAACCUUCAACUCCACGGGACAAUGCUGUUCCAAUGGCCUCCCCAGCAGAAGACAGGCAGGGAACAAGGCUGACCCCAGAGGGCCAGGCCACAGCAGGGGCUGAGGAUGCCUGGUGAAUGGAUGCCUGGGAGAAAGGAUGCCAGAAUUCGUGCUCGAGGACAUGAUGAAACAGGGAAAGACUCAAUAGAAUAAAGAAGGAAGGGGACGGGUGCGGUGGCUCACGCCUGUAAUUCCAGCACUUUGGGAGGCUGAGGCGGGCGGAUCACGAGGUCGGGAGUUCGAGACCAGCCUGGCCAAUACGGUGAAACCCUGUCGCUACUAAAAAUACAACAUUUAGAUGGGCAUGGUGUCACGAGCCUGUAGUCCCACCUACUUGGGAAGCUGAGGUAGGAAAAUCCCUUGAACCUGGGAGACAGAGGUUGCAGUGAGACGAGAUUGUGCCAUUGCACUCGAGCCUGGCUACAGAGUGAGACUCUGUCUCAGAAAAAAAUAAAAAUUAAAAAUAAAGAAGGAAGGAGAAGGAUGGAAGCGAAUCUCAAUGAACAAAAUGCACUGGGACCUACUAUGUACCCAGAAAAAUGAAAAGUAAAUAAAUAAAAUAAGGACUUGCAUGGUGGUUUAUGCUCAUAGUCCUAGAACUCUGGAACUCUGGAAGGCUGAGGCAGGAGGAUCGCUUGAGCCCAAGAGUUUGAGAUCAGCCUAGGCAACAUGCGAAACCCAUCUAUACAAAAAGAUAU
rnacentral:lncRNA from 1 species